rnacentral:tRNA from 1 species
GCCGAUUAGCUCAGUUGUUUGAGCGGGGUGCUGAUAACACCAAGGUCGCAGGUUCGAUUCCCGUUUGGUC